CCCUUAGAUGUUCUGGGCCGCACGCGCGCUACAAUGAUGAAUUCAACGAGUUUAUAACCUUGGUUGAAAAGCCUGGGUAAUCUUUUGAACUUUCGUCGUGAUGGGGCUAGACCCUUGCAAUUAUUGGUCUCCAACGAGGAAUUCCUAGUAAACGCAAGUCAUCAGCUUGCAUUGAUUACGUCCCUGCCCUUUGUACACACUGCCCGUCGCACCUACCGAUUGAAUGGUCCGGUGAAAUCUUCGGAUUGAGACUUUGAUUUCUUCACGGAAAACGCUGUUUUAAGAAGUUGAUUAAACCUUACCAUUUAGAGGAAGGUGAAGUCGUAACA
rnacentral:rRNA from 1 species